CCAUAGGCCCUGUCCAGGCGGACGUGGUGCGCAGUGAUGUGGGGGCAAAUGGAAAGUGGACAUGGCCACACAUAUCUCCAGAUGUUUGCUGUGACCACCCCACCAUACCAGACGCACACCCCCUCCAGCUUCAGAUUCCCUUCGCCACCAAAAAUUGAAUGGCUCCCUCCUCCUCAGCUGCAGCCUCAGUCAGGAUGCGGCGACGAGUGCGUUCAAAGCUCUGAAACUGGAAGAUGC